UACGAAGGGGGCUAGCGUUGUUCGGAAUUACUGGGCGUAAAGCGCACGUAGGCGGGUGGUUAAGUCAGGGGUGAAAUCCCGGAGCUCAACUCCGGAACUGCCUUUGAUACUGGCCAUCUAGAGAUCGGAAGAGGUGAGUGGAAUUCCCAGUGUAGAGGUGAAAUUCGUAGAUAUUCGCAAGAACACCAGUGGCGAAGGCGGCUCACUGGCCCGAUACUGACGCUGAGGCACGAAAGCGUGGGGAGCAAACAGG
rnacentral:rRNA from 1 species